AGGGCAGGAGGGCUCCAGCCAUGCCUUCCCCAGGCCUUUGGGUCCGCAGGGAAGCCCACCAAACCCUUUAAGGGGAUCAGAGGGGAGGGGAUGCAUCAUCUCCUGCACUGCUGGAGGUAGAAAAUCCCUAUUAUUAGGGAUUAUGAGACCUUGGGUAUGUUUUCCUAGAAACAAAUCCCCUAGAAGUGCGUGCAGUUUCCCCAGACCCUCUAAACCUGCCCGUGGUUAGGGUCAGGCACCCCUGCUGCCCAGCCUGCAGAACACCAAACCCCGUUUUGGGGAGGGGGCUGGAAGCCAAGCAGGGCGCAGCACAGGAUUUCUCCCUCUCCGAGGCCUCGGGGUGGAUGUGUGGGACACUCCUGGGAGCCACAGGCUCGAGGCUGGCACCGAAGCACACAGCAGGAUGCGGAGCGCCGUAUUUCAAGCCCAGCCGUCGGCAUCGGGGGUUUUCUGCUCCCAGCCAGGGGCGUAACGUGCAGGGCGGCUGUCGGGAGGCUGAGAGUCCCUAUAUCACUGCUGCAGAGGGUGAUUCAUGAUUACCCGCAGUAAUCCAGAAGCUCUACAAAACUGCUAAUAAUAGGCCUUGCAAACCGACAUUUUAGUCGAGAUAAAAAAUGACGGGAACGGAAUCCAACCGUGCCUCGCUGGAACUAUAAAUGGAAAGGUAUUGCCCGUGCUCGGCUCCAGAAACACGGCACAAAGCGAAAGCAGGGGACGGAGCUCGGCCCCAGGAUCCCAGCCGAGGUGGGACAGGGAUCCCACGGCAGAGAAGUGAGCGUGGCACGGGCAGAAAGCACCUCCUGAUGUCCCUGGUGUCCCAGGACUGGCACAGAUCCCAAACUCCAGGGCUUUGGGGAAGGGGUAGAGCUGCUGAAACCUGGGCAAACACGGCCAGGCUGUUGGUGUUGGCCCCGCCGUGCCGCGGGGCUGCCAGGCCCUUUAACGAGGAUCACGCUCACGAAGCAGCCCCGAGCUGGGCGAAAGCAGGGGUGGGAUGUGGGCUGCGUGGUGCUAACAACCCUUCUGCCUGCUCCAGCAGCGCGUAUUAGAGCGAACGCAGGCACGAGGCAUUAAACGCCUUAAUGCUGGCGGCUUCCCGGUGCCAGCGCCGAGUCUCUGCCAUGCCAGGAGACACGCAGGCAGCUCGACAUACCCAGGGACGCCUUUCCAAGCUCGAUCGUUAAAAUUAAGCAUAUUGCAACCAAAUUUUAAUGUCACGUCUUCUGCUCGUCGGAGCUCUCAAAUCUGUUCGUGCAGCCACCCGAAUUACAAGGCUGCUUUAUGCUCCGCGGGCUGAGGGGUGACUUUUUUUUCCACGCUUAAUUAGUUAAAAACCAACAGGGCUGGGUCACUACGGCUUUGGGUCAUGGAGCUGCUGGGUUAUGUGUGCGUAUAUAUAUAUAUUUUUAUUUUUUUUUUUCACUUCUGAGCUGCUGUUUCUCAUCUGGCAGCAGGCUGCCCGCCACUGAGUCAAUAUUAUUUGAUGCCUGCCCCAUGGCUUGGCUGAAACGACCCCAUCUCCCCGAGCAAACCCCCAGCCGCAGGGAACCACAUCACAGAACCCAUGCACACGGCCGUGGGACGAGGGCUGGGGACACGGCCCCGCUCCCCAAAGGGGCCACGGGCGAAGCUGGAGGUGCUGGGGACAGCUCUGCUGUUCCUCUCCAUCCUCCAUCCUUCUGGGGACCGAGUUCCUGCACCUUGUGCGGAAAUCCUAUAAACGCAACAUGGGAAUUUGGUGUAAUUUAUAACCCCGAAGGCAGUGCGGACCAGAUGUUUCUGAGCUAGCUGCUCUUUCUGCCAACGAUAAGGCCCCCUGGGCUCGGUUUCGACUCCAGAAAUGUGGCCGGUUAAUUAAUUAACGUGACUCGAACGCCCCGGUCCUGUAGGGCACCUGCCCCCGGUGCGGACACCUCCGUGCCCCUGGCUGUGCCCGUGAAAGCCGAGGCAGAAAGCUGCCGAGGCGAGGCCGAGCCGCAGCGGGGCCGUGCACACAAAACAAUGCCGUGAUUCAUCGGAGAUUGCCAUAACCCAUCGCGUUUCAUCAGGAUGCUGUGGCAUUUAAAUUAAAUGGCAUUUCCUCCCAUCUGUUGCGCAUUAGCAGACAAAGAAAAAGGAGGGGGGGGGGGGGGGUGAGGAGGAAGAACAGCAUAACAAAACGGGGAGAAAAACGGGAUUCCUGAGUCAGGCUGUUCUUGCGGGAGGCUCCUCGCCAAACCCGAGCCCACCCUGUGGGAUGAGGGCAGGGGGAUUCACCGCGGACCCCUCUGCCCCCGCUGCUCCCCCGGGCCCGGCAGCGAGGGCUGCUGACACCCGCGGUGACUCAAAGCCUCGCGGAGCAGCACCUGGCAACCCUCUCCCCGCACACCCCGAGCUGAGCAACGCCAGCUUCGGGCUGGCAAACCGGGGGCAGGAGUAAAACCAAGCCCCCCGAGCCAGCCGCUCUUGUGGCUUUUAUUUUUCCUUGGCCGUUUCCUCCUCUUCGCCUCUCAUUUUCCAUUGCCUCCUCCCUCCCCUGACUGAUUUUCCCUUGGAAAUGAGGAUUUUUCCUCAUCCCCACUUCUCUCUUUCAUCUAGUUUGGUUCCUUUGCUCCCGGUUCCUCUGCUCCCCAUCCCUUCUCCCUCCUCCUGUCCCUCUUGCACUGCCCCUGCCCUAACACAUCCCCACUCCUGCGCCACCCCAGCAGGGAGCACCCUCAGGACCAGACCAGCCAAGGCAGCGGUCCCGUGGAGCAGCCACCCUAAAGAUGCUGCGUGAAGCACCCCCGACGAUCCUUCCCCUAAGGGGAUACAAGCAGCACCCUGCACUGUAACCACCAGCAGCAGGAGGCAGAAACAUCUUCAGGCAAGCAGCCUGGGACCCCCGAGCAGCCAGACCCCAGAGAUGCCAGGAAACAACCCAGCACCCUCAGGGAUCACGGCGUCCCCUCACUUUGCUCAAGGCAACCUUCGUUCCCCAGCAUCGCACAAGCAGAAGCAAUGCCUGAAAACCACCCCUAAUGCAUGAGCAGACAAAUCCCUCGAGCCAGAGCUCAUAGCUUGAGCAGCAGAGAGCAGAAAAGUGUCCCUGCAAGCCCAAGGGUCCAGCAGGCGCGCUCAGAGCCCGUCGGCUCCCACCCGGCAGAGGACGGGCAGCGCUUCCAGCUGCUAGCACGCUCCCCGAGCCCGGCUUUGGCCAGGACACAGGCAGUCAUUCAGGACGGAAUAGGGACAGAGCAGCUUUCCCCCAAGCUCUCGGCGUUCAGGGCUGAGGGCACGGCCGGGGCCGUGCGGUUGGUAGCAGACGGAGCUGAGCUGGCUCCCAAAUUACGGCCGCCUUAUCCCCGUCUGGGUUUGACACGGCUUCCUCCCUUCCCUUCGUGACUCAGUGCCUUGGCACCGCGAACGCAUACCCAAGAGGUUAGCCUUUGAAAGCCACCGGGGACGGUUCACCUUCCUAAAAUAAAGAGCGGGCGAAAAUAUUUUCAACAUCCCUGCGAAGAAAAAAAAAAAAUGCCCCCGAAAACAUCGCCGCUUAAUAAAUGGAUGUUGUUGGGCCUCAGCUGGCUCUGGGCUGAGGUAAAUUUUCCUAUUUAUAAUCACGCAGCUGUUGGCUGGCUGAAUAACUGUAUUUAUUAUUUGGCAUGUUUACUAACCGCCUCAAAUACCUUCUCUACCUGUAAUUGUGGUGCAGCGUACACAUAUAUAUGUAUUUUAGAUUUCUUCAUUCAAGUGGUUUGUGUUACUCCCGGGCUCCGUGCUGCGGUUUGCUGAGGGUGCCCAUGGUUUGGAGGUAUGGAGCUCUGGACUCAGGUGACCCUGAACUGCAGCAGACCUGCAAAGAGACACCUGGGAAAAAAAAUUUAGACAUUUUUUAAAGCCAUUUGUCCAUUUGCACUCUGGGCUUUAGCAUACUCUAUUUGCCUCUCCUAUAAGCAGCACCUCCUGAAUGUGUUUCCCCCUUGUCUACGCUCAUCUCUGCCUCUUUGAAACCUGGCCGAACGCCCCCAGCCCAGCCCCUGAGCCCUGCAGGACUCUGAGGGUCUCCCUCGCCCUGCCCGCAUGUGUCUGCCCCUGUUAUCCGUCCCUGUGAGUCUCUGGGAUGUGCUCCCUGCCCCUUGUCUCUGCAAGUGGAUGUUCCGAUGCUCUUGAUGAUUUUCUGCUUGCUCACCUGCCCUUUUCCCAGCACCAGAUGUCCCGUCCUUCCUCCAUUCAGCCCAAUCUAAGCGCUGCUCUUGCAGCUCCCUACACCCCACAGGACUCCUUUUGCGUAUGCCGUUUGGUGGGAGGGCUUCAUUGCCUGGCAGAGGGGCUCCUCUUUCUGCCCUAGGCAUGGGCAGCCCCUCCUGUGCUCAGGGGGCUCCUGUACACCAUGGGGUGUGCAGGGAUAGGGGUGCAGGAGGAUUGGUCUGGCUUUAGGAAUUUAUUUAUUUUUUUAAUAGAAGAACAAACAGAAAAGGAGGUAUAAAAGCAUUGCAGAUGGUUCUUGUUCCACGUCAAAGUGGGUCAAAAUCUGUUCAUCGAUAAGCUUGCAGCAGGCAGCACCCUUUGUGUAUCACAGGGGCUGAAUCUCAACCCAACCCCAUUUCCAGAGGUCCUGGCCCACAGCAUCCCCAGGAAGCACACUUCAGGGCUUUCUGCCCCAGGGAUACUCUCCUUACAGAGCUCUUCUCCUUCACUGAAGAGGAGAAUUGGGUCUCCAAACCAGGCUGCUGGGCUGAUCAAGCCUUGCACCUCUGUGUGAGGGUCAUCUCGGAGCAAGGGGAUGACAUCUCAGCCAGCCACACCGUCGCCCUCGCAGGGCUGCAGCUUCCACAUUUACCCCGAGCCUCAAUGACCAUCUGUGCCGGCGGAGGUCACCCCCAGAAAGGACUGGCCAGGUCCGUGCCCCAUUUACAGGGGCUGUAAAACCGCCACCUGGCCGCUGGCUUUAUGGCUUUGGACGACGCUGGUGUCAAAGAAACUUGGCGCGGGAGCCAGCUGGAGCGGGGCCAGUUUUAUAUUUAAUCUUGCCUAUAAAUGCAAAUAAAGGCUCUGUAUUUGGAGUGAGUGACAGGCGCACCGUGGACAUUAUUAAACCUUCCAAAAAUAAACCUCUGCCAAAGUGA